CGCGAAAUUCAUCGACUAA
rnacentral:snRNA from 1 species